GAUGAACGCUGGCGGCGUGCCUAAUACAUGCAAGUCGAGCGAACGGACGAGAAGCUUGCUUCUCUGAUGUUAGCGGCGGACGGGUGAGUAACACGUGGAUAACCUACCUAUAAGACUGGGAUAACUUCGGGAAACCGGAGCUAAUACCGGAUAAUAUUUUGAACCGCAUGGUUCAAAAGUGAAAGACGGUCUUGCUGUCACUUAUAGAUGGAUCCGCGCUGCAUUAGCUAGUUGGUAAGGUAACGGCUUACCAAGGCAACGAUGCAUAGCCGACCUGAGAGGGUGAUCGGCCACACUGGAGCUGAGACACGGUCCAGGCUCCUACGGGAGGCAGCAGUAUGGAAUCUUCCGCAAUAGGCGAAAGCCUGACGGAGCAACGCCGCGUGAGUUAUGAAGGUCUUCGGAUCGUAAUACUCUGUUAUUAGGGAAGAACAUAUGUGUAAGUAGCUGUGCACAUCGUGACGGUACCGAAUCAGAAAGCCCCGGCUAACUACGUG
rnacentral:rRNA from 1 species